ensembl:lncRNA
UAGUUUAUGUGCGUUCUACUCCGUGUUCUUUAUCCACGCGCAGCCUUAUCUCCCAUGAGUUGUUUUCCCGGUGUUUGGAGUGGGAGGGGAAUUCAUUCCAGGUCCCCCCCUCCUCGCGCGCCUUCCCAUCACUUCCUGUUCCUCAAACGCUACGUCUCUCGUCUGGGCAGAAGGCGGCAGCAGCAGCAGCAGCCUACGCGUAUCCCACAGGUGUGUGUUCCUGACCAAAGCGAGAGCUCCCGAAGAGAUACACACCUGGAAGGAACCAUCAUGUGACCGGCACCUGGGCGUGGAGAAAGUCCUUUGUAUUUCCCUGACUCCUUUUGCGAGUUGCCCGUGUCGUCUUUGAGCAAGGAACUCCCUGUCGGUCGAGCAGUAAUCCUGUUUUCUACGGAAUAGUGCCUUUUUUUUGCAGCCGCCUGUAGACCCGCGAGCAGAAAGAACAUGAGCCUCGGGUUCAUGUGACCGAAGGGACUCCAGGUCUGGACUUGAGAUUUUUGGAACUACUGUUGGUUUCUUCCUCCAAGUCCAGGUCAGUUGGAGCAGAUGACAAAGCCGGCGUGAUGUUGAUGACAGACCGGCGAGCCUCAGAAGUUCAACUCCAGAGUAAAAAUCAAAGGUCUGAUGGCAGACGAGCUGAAAUCUGGGGCAGAGAGGGGCGUUUCACUUUCUUUCGCAAACAGAUACUCAACCAGCGCUAGUAAGCUGUGAAAAAGGUGAUUGUAAAUGUUGGCAAUCAACACAUUGUCGACUUGCCGCUGUAGAAACAAGAAACAAGGUGUAACUCUGCCUCUAACGGCCUUCGGUUUCCGGCUCAAGCUCUGUGCCGUCUCCCCCUAGAAGUUCUGCGAUAAGAUAGUAGGACUGGGUCCGAGAUUGACCCCUCCAUAAAUGCAUUGACCCACUGCUAAGAUUAAUCCAUAGACACCACCCACAGAGAGGGACCUGGGAUCUGCAGUGGACCCCUUCCAACCCCAGACAAUCUCCCACUGGAAACGAGUGUUGCUCCUCAGACCCCAAAAAGCCAUCUGGAGCAGGAGGAGGUCAUUCUGGAGGCGGGGGCACACGUUUACCCCUCAAACAACCUUGAAACUCUUCCCAUCUCCACACGGCCCUUCCUGUGUGUGUGGUUCCUUUUGCGUCCCACUGCCAGCUCAUGCUGGCCGGAUGAAUCACAGCCGGAGUGAUGUAUUUUGUAUUUAUAGUACCCCCAUCUUCACCUUUUUAACAGCUAAGUAAACCCCCAGUUUUGGCUGUAUGUUUUCCUGGCAAUGAGUUUAGAAAGAACAUGAUCAGCAAUGAUCGUAGUAGUGACGGUUGUAAAGGUUUGAGGAUAAAAAAUUGGGGACCAUAGGAUCCAGUGCGAGGGGCGCUGUCAAACGUUCUCAUAACCCACCCUAAACUCGCUGGAGCUAGGGGGUGCACCCGCAGAAAAGGCCCGCUCUG